rnacentral:rRNA from 1 species
GCUGAUAUGGUAGCGAGAAUAAGGUGGGAAUCCUUAUGGCCGAAUAUCCAAGGUUUCCAGAGUAAAGCUGAUCUGCUCUGGGUAAGUCGGGGCCUAAGGCGAGGACGAGAGUCGUAGCCGAUGGACAACAGGUGGAGAUUCCUGUACUGCGGUAUGACAGAACUGUGGGGACACGUAAGGAAAGCGGAAGCCGGGAAUGGAAAGCCCGGUGCAAGCGGGGUACCAGUCACUUUGGCAAAUCCGGGUGGCAAUGGGAAGCCGUGAUGCGGAGUGAAAUAAAGUAGCGAAGUCCGUGAGCCAUGCGUCAAGAAAAGCCGCUAUCGUUCAUACCGUACCCGUACCGUAAACCGACACAGGUGGAUGAGGAGAGAAUCCUAAGGCCGGCGGAAGAAGCAUUGUCAAGGAACUCGGCAAAAUGGCCCCGUAACUUAGGGAUAAGGGGUGCCUGGGAAACCAGGCCGCAGAGAAUAGGCUCAAGCAACUGUUUAGCAAAAACACAGGUCUAUGCGAAACCGAAAGGUGAGGUAUAUGGGCUGACGCCUGCCCGGUGCUGGAAGGUUAAGAGGAGAGGUUAGCGCAAGCGAAGCUUUGAAUUUAAGCCCCAGUAAACGGCGGCCGUAACAAUAACGGUCCUAAGGUAGCGAAAUUCCUUGUCGGGUAAGUUCCGACCCGCACGAAAGGCGUAAUGAUUUGAGCGCUGUCUCGACAAUGCAUCCGGUGAAAUUGAAGUACCAGUGAAGAUGCUGGUUACCUGCGCCAGGACGGAAAGACCCCAUGGAGCUUUACUCCAGUCUGGUACUGGGACUCGGUAUUGCAUGUACAGGAUAGGUGGGAGGCUAGGAGAUGGUAACGCCAGUUGCCAUGGAGCCGCUGUUGGGAUACCACCCUUGCAGUAUUGGGUUUCUAACCAGCCGCCGUGACCCGGCGGUGGGACAAUGCCAGACGGGGAGUUUGACUGGGGCGGUCGCCUCCGAAAGGGUAUCGGAGGCGCCCAAAGGUUCCCUCAGAAUGGACGGAAACCAUUCGAAGAGUGCAAAGGCAGAAGGGAGCUUGACUGCGACACCGACGGGUGGAGCAGGUACGAAAGUAGGGCUUAGUGAUCCGGUGGUAUUAAGUGGGAAUGCCAUCGCUCAUCGGAUAAAAGCUACCCUGGGAUAACAGGCUUAUCACUCCCAAGAGUUCACAUCGACGGAGUGGUUUGGCACCUCGAUGUCGGCUCAUCGCAUCCUGGGGCUGUAGUAGGUCCCAAGGGUUGGGCUGUUCGCCCAUUAAAGCGGUACGCGAGCUGGGUUCAGAACGUCGUGAGACAGUUCGGUCCCUAUCCGGCGUGGGCGUAGGAUAUCUGAGAGGAGCUGUCCUUAGUACGAGAGGACCGGGAUGGACGGGCCGCUGGUGCAUCGGUUAGACUGCCAAGUCUACGGCCGAGUAGCCAAGCCCGGAAGGGAUAAACGCUGAAGGCAUCUAAGCGUGAAGCCCCCCUUAAGAUGAGAUAUCCCAUUCGAAAGAAGUAAACCCCCUUGAAGACGACGAGGUAGAUAGGGCAGAGGUGGAAGUGCAGCAAUGCAUGGAGCUGACUGUUACUAAUCGGGUGAGGGCUUGACC